AUUACUGCAACUCUUUAUUAUCAGGCUGCCCCAAUAAGUCCAUUAAAACGCUCCAAUUAAUUCAGAACGCUGCAGCACGAGUACUGACAGGAACUAGAAAAAGAGAUCACAUCUCUCCUGUACUAGCUUCUCUGCAUUGGCUCCCUGUAAAAUGUAGAAUAGAAUUUAAAAUCCUCCUCCUCACCUAUAAAGCUCUUCAUGGUCAGGCCCCUUCAUAUCUUAAAGAGCUCAUAGUACCCUAUUACCCCUCUAGAACACUACGUUCUCUGAAUGCUGGGCUACUUGUGGUUCCUAUAGUCUCUAAAAGUAGAACAGGAGCCAGAGCCUUCAGUUACCAAGCUCCUCUCCUGUGGAACCAGCUUCCAGUUGUGGUUCGGGAGGCAGACACCCUCACCACAUUCAAGAGUAGGCUUAAGACAUUCCUCUUUGAUAAAGCUUAUAGUUAGGGCUGGAUCAGGUGAGUCUUGAACCAUCCCUUAGUUAUGCUGCUAUAGGCCUAGACUAUCGGGGGAUUUCCCAUGGUGCACUGAGCUCCUCCCUUCCUCUCUUUCUGCACUCAUUCAUGUCCCAUUAAUGCAUGUUACUAACUUCACUUCUUCCCCGGAGUUCUUGUGCUUUCUCGUCUCGCAGGUUCUCAUCGAUCCUGGUGGAGCCUCCUGCCAUGGUCCUGCUAGAUUGCCAUUACCAAUACUGUUGUUGCUGUGCACCUGUCUGUCUGUCUGUCUGUCUGUCUGUCUCUCUCUCUCUCUCUCUCUCUCUCACCCCAACUGGUCGAGACAGACGACCACCCACCUAGAGCCGGAGGAUCUGUCCUAGGUUUCUGCCUUUUAACAGGCAGUGUUUCCUUGCCCUUGUCUCCAAGGUCUUGCUCAUGGUGGUACU